rnacentral:rRNA from 1 species
GAUGAACGCUGGCGGCGUGCCUAAUACAUGCAAGUCGAGCGAACGGACGAGAAGCUUGCUUCUCUGAUGUUAGCGGCGGACGGGUGAGUAACACGUGGAUAACCUACCUAUAAGACUGGGAUAACUUCGGGAAACCGGAGCUAAUACCGGAUGAUAUUUUGAACCGCAUGGUUCAAAGGUGAAAGACGGUCUUGCUGUCACUUAUAGAUGGAUCCGCGCUGCAUUAGCUAGUUGGUAAGGUAACGGCUUACCAAGGCAACGAUGCAUAGCCGACCUGAGAGGGUGAUCGGCCACACUGGAACUGAGACACGGUCCAGACUCCUACGGGAGGCAGCAGUAGGGAAUCUUCCGCAAUGGGCGAAAGCCUGACGAAGCAACGCCGCGUGAGUGAUGAAGGUCUUCGGAUCGUAAAACUCUGUUAUUAGGGAAGAACAUAUGUGUAAGUAACUGUGCACAUCUUGACGGUACCUAAUCAGAAAGCCACGGCUAACUACGUG